rnacentral:ncRNA from 2 species
CCGAUUCGUAAGGGGCGCCUCUGGCUGAGACGGCAUUCGCCGAACCCUUCGAACCUGUGAGCUCAUACUCGCGUAGGGACUACGACGGUUGGACGCU